AUGGCGGGGGAGCUCCGCGGCGCUCUCUGCCGCACCCCGGCGAGGGCUCCCGCAUCCGGGGUCGGGAGCGACGAGAACGCGCGGCCUGCCGGAGCUUCGACUCCCGCCCCAGCGGAGCCCGUCGCGGCCUCCCGGCCCCCCCUCCGGGCUAUCCAGUCACCGGGGCAGCCCCGGCGGCCGGUGCCGACGCCCAAGAAGGGUCUGAGGGUCAGGGCAGCGGGCAAGACACCGGCGCGGGUCGGCGCGGCGACCACUCCCCUUCGCCCGACCAAGAUCCUGGGGGAGCCGAAGCCGGUGCCGAGGUUGGGGUUCACGACGACGGGGGCCAGUUCUGCGCAGGUCCAACGUUCCAAGCUCCGAGACUCCAUCUUGCUCCGGGAGGAGAAUCGCAGUGUGCAGAAUGUUUCGUCAGCAUUGCAGCAAGAUGACUCUCAUGCACCUGCAAAGGAACAAGACAACUCAGAAGAUGCAUUGAGCCUGCAGCUGGAGUUGGCCAUAACCAAAACAAUUCUUCUGGAGGAGGUAAAAGCCCGAGCUGAAGCUGACGUCAGGGAAACUGCUGUAGGUGAUGAGCUGAAAGCAGCAAAUUUACGUACCCUUGAAGCUUGCAGGCAGAAGGAAACCACAGAAAAAGAACUGAAAUACACAACAUCUGUUUUAGAGGCCCUUGAAUCGGAGCACGUUGUUUUGAUAAAGGAACUAGAGGAGCUGAAGAAGAAGAAUUUCCAAAGCCCGGUAUUUCGUAAGAAGAGGGAUGUGGAAACUCUGAUGUUAAACACUGAGCUUGAGCAAGAAAUGGAUGAAAUCCACAGGCAGGCUAUGUGUGAAACGUCUGAGGUGAUUAUAUCCUUACAAAAAUAG
rnacentral:rRNA from 1 species